rfam:Asian citrus Psyllid, Diaphorina citri - Florida Strain, whole genome shotgun sequence.
GCCUAGUUAGCUUAGUUGGUAGUGCGUCUGCCUUGUAAGCGCUAGGCCGCGGGUUCGAUUCCCGCCCGGGCG